GAUCCUGGCUCAGGAUGAACGCUAGCUACAGGCUUAACACAUGCAAGUCGAGGGCAUCAGGAACAAGCUUGCUUUGUUGCUGGCGACCGGCGCACGGGUGAGUAACGCGUAUCCGACCUACCAUAACUCGGGCACAGCCGCUCGAAAGAGCGAUUGAUUCCCGAUAUGUCCUUGGAGUAGAUUCAAUGAUGAAAGAUUAAUCGGUAACGGAUGGGGAUGCGUGACAUUAGAUAGUAGGCGGGGUAACGGCCCACCUAGUCUACGAUGUCUAGGGGUUCUGAGAGGAAGGUCCCCCACACUGGAACUGAGACACGGUCCAGACUCCUACGGGAGGCAGCAGUGAGGAAUAUUGGUCAAUGGUCGGAAGACUGAACCAGCCAAGUAGCGUGAAGGAUGAAGGUUCUAUGGAUUGUAAACUUCUUUUAUACGGGAAUAAAACCUCCCACGUGUGGGAGCUUGUAUGUACCGUAUGAAUAAGCAUCGGCUAACUCCGUG
rnacentral:rRNA from 1 species